rnacentral:rRNA from 1 species
UACGAAGGGGGCUAGCGUUGUUCGGAAUCACUGGGCGUAAAGCGCACGUAGGCGGGUCGUUAAGUCGGCGGUGAAAUCCCAAGGCUCAACCUUGGAACUGCCUUCGAUACUGGCGAUCUUCGAGUCCGGGAGAGGUGAGUGGAACUCCGAGUGUAGAGGUGAAAUUCGUAGAUAUUCGGAAGAACACCAGUGGCGAAGGCGGCUCACUGGCCCGGUACUGACGCUGAGGUGCGAAAGCGUGGGGAGCAAACAGG